GACGAACCUUGCUAACGUUAUUCGGAAUUACUGGGCUUAAAGGGUGCGUAGGCGGCGCGGUAAGUCGGGUGUGAAAUCUCGGAGCUUAACUCCGAAACUGCAUUCGAUACUGCCGUGCUUGAGGACUGGAGAGGAGACUGGAAUUUACGGUGUAGCGGUGAAAUGCGUAGAUAUCGUAAGGAAGACCAGUGGCGAAGGCGGGUCUCUGGACAGUUCCUGACGCUGAGGCACGAAGGUCAGGGGAGCAAACGGG
rnacentral:rRNA from 1 species